AGGGAUUCCCCUCUGACCCCGGCACAUUGCAUUGUUGACAUCAUCUGGGGUAAAACCUGGCAGAAAAACAUCAAUAAGACCAGCCAGCUGAUCGCAUAUCGCAACGUGCUUUGUUGUUGCUGACUUGUGUACAUCAUACACGAUCGGUCUUUGUUCAUUUGGGAUCGCCGCAUUUGGUUUGGCUACAAGCUCACAAUUUGGUGAAAUAGUUUGACAAGGGCAGAUUUUUUUACUGAUUGAAAGCAACCAGGCAUGGACAAAAUGCAGACAGAUGCUAAGAAACGACGGAAGAUAGCUGCUGUGUCUUGCCUUGUUCUCCUAGCUCUGUCUGCUGUUGAGCUGACGAUAGGAGUCGUAGCGUAUCAGAUGGUUCAUAAUAUAAACGCUGGCUCCUUCUGGGCUGUGGGAGGUCUCCUUCUGGGUUCUAUUCUGGCGCUCGUCGGAGUCUACAACAAACAAGAAGGUGGAUGUUGGAUGAAGACUGGGAUCGUGUGUUUGGUUCUUGGCGUCAUACUGGCGUUUAUCGGUGCAAUCAUUGAUGGAGUUACAGCAUCUGCAGUCUCGAAGGUGGAUUUAUUCAAGUGCAAUCAUUCUGACACGGGAUUGGCUAAUUGUAUGGCCAGUGCUGGGUGUGAAAGGUCAGUGAGCAUGCUCAGUACGUGCUACUGUUGCUAUGUGACAUCACAGAGGGAAGCUAACUGUGCCUUUCAGUCUGUCAGUCUUUCUGAGAUUCCCUCAUUUUUCUCCGGAGUGAAAUCUUGCUCUGACGUCAGCGGUUACAUCAACCUCCUCUGGGCCUCCGUCGCAUUCCUGACAUUCUCCCUCAUCGUUGGUGUGGUCGUCACGGCGAUGGUUAGCGGCUACAGAAACCUGGUUGCUAAGAUACCAAGGACGUACAUCCAGACAAUCCAGCGAAGCCCCAUUCCAGCCUAUCCUACCUCAUCUGCAUAUCAGCCAGUCGUCUCUCCAACUCCAACCCCAACGCCAAUGCCCACGCCACAACACGAGGAGGUCCAGAAGACUAGCCGACCAAUCCCUGCACCCAGGAACUCGAGACCGCCUCCCUACGCCCCGCCUGCUCAUGUCUAGAUAGCCUAUGCCCCGCCUACUGACGUACAGACUAAUGGGCUUUGGCACGUCAAGACUUAGCUAUGCCACACCCCUUGAUGUCAAGAUUCAGCUAGCCACACCCCUUGAUGCCAAGACUCAGCUAUGCCGCACCCCUUGAUGUCAAGACGUGGCUAUGCCGCACCCCUUGAUGUCAAGACUCGGCUAUGCCACGCCCCUUGAUGUAGAGAUUCGGCUAUGCCACGCCCCUUGAUGUCAAGAUUUGGCUAGCCUCACUCCUUGAUGCCAAGAUAUGGCUAUGCCGCACCCCUUGAUGUCAAGAUUUGGUUAUGUCACGCCCCUUGACAUCAAGAUUGGCUAAUGCCACACCCCUUGACGUCAAGACUUGGCUAUGUUGCACCUCUUGAUGUCAAGACUCGGCUAUGCCACGCCCCAUGAUGUCAAGACUCGGCUAUGCCACGCCCCUUGAUGUCAAGACUUGGCUAUGCCGCACCCCU
rnacentral:misc_RNA from 1 species